rnacentral:lncRNA from 1 species
UGUUGAUAUGUGGUCCAUGGUAGUGUUGGGCAAUCUGGAUGCAAGCUGGAAUAAUGUGAUUGUUUCUGUUUUUGUAAUUCUCUCAUAUCUCCAAAUUGCUAUGUUCACUCAUCUUGUUGUGACGGUGGUUUGGUUAGAUUAAUUUCACAAUAGGAUAGAUGUUGCCUGCCUUACAUAGUGGUUUAGGCAUUGAGGGUGACAAUAGUAUAUUAACAUCUAAUAUGUAUGAUUUUCAUAUUGCACUAUCUACACAGACUAUACGUUGGCUGUUUUGUAGCUUUGUUCUUCCUAAAACUUCUUAUAGCGUUGUCCUUCUCAUGGCAUAUUUAGUGCUUGCUAUUUGGACUGCAUGACUAGUUUUAGUUAUGCCACUAGUUCAAUGAAGUAAACCAUGUUUUCUGUAGAAAUGUUAUAUAGGAAAGUUGUAGAUAACUUCUUUAUCUUAAUUGUGUAAAAGUUUCAUGACCAUAGGCUUAGCAGUUUAGAAGUUAUGAUUUUUCCA